rnacentral:rRNA from 1 species
GGAAUCUUGCGCAAUGGGCGAAAGCCUGACGCAGCAACGCCGCGUGCGGGAUGAAGGCCUUCGGGCUGUAAACCGCUUUCAGCAGGAACGAAAAUGACGGUACCUGCAGAAGAAGGAGCGGCCAACUACGUGCCAGCAGCCGCGGUGACACGUAGGCUCCAAGCGUUGCCCGGAUUUAUUGGGCGUAAAGAGCUCGUAGGCGGUUUAGUAAGUCGGGUGUUAAAACUCUGGGCUCAACCCGGAGAGGCCAUCCGAUACUGCUGUGACUUGAGUUCAGGAGGGGAGCGGGGAAUUCCUAGUGUAGCGGUGAAAUGCGCAGAUAUUAGGAGGAACACCGGUGGCGAAGGCGCCGCUCUGGACUGAAACUGACGCUGAGGAGCGAAAGCAUGGGUAGCAAACAGGAUUAGAUACCCUGGUAGUCCAUGCCGUAAACGGUGGGCACUAGGUGUGGGUUCCAACUAACGGGAUCCGCGCCGUCGCUAACGCAUUAAGUGCCCCGCCUGGGGAGUACGGUCGCAAGACUAAAACUCAAAUGAAUUGACGG